AAAGUUGAAAAGUACUUUGAAGAGAGAGUAAACAGUGCGUGAAACCGCUCAGAGGUAAACGGGUGGAGUUGAACUGCAAACUCUAUGGAUUCAGCUGGUGAGAUUGCUUGGGCUUGGACAAAUUGGUUGAUACUUGGGGUCUGCGUAGCAGCAGGUCUUCGCCACUCUGUGGCGCGGAUGCGCGAGGCACUUAUCAAGUGUUGUGCGCCCUGAGUUAUCGGACCGUCUCGCCAGUGCACUUCCUUAGAGUGUUCACCACGACCGGCAUUGCUGUCAGGCCAUUGAGGUUAAACCGGUCAUGCAUUGUCCUUGUGGCUUUGUUUGGUCGGGACGGCAGGUAGCUCGUUUGCUUGCCUAUGGUUCGCUGUAGGCUUUCGGCUUUCGGGUGUAAUCAGCUGACCCUAAUGGUUCUGUGCAGUAUGUCGGAGACGGCGGCUUGUGGUGUUAGCAUGCGUAGCAGGUGGCUGGCGUAUCCGGGUUUGGUUGUUGUGUUGCUUGUGCAAACAAGCCCAAUGAUGGCUCGGGUUCGUUCGGUUGUCGGUUGCGUAUGUGACGCUAUCCAGGGCCAAUAGUCUGUGGUGUAGUGGUAGACUAUCCACCUGACCCGUCUUG
rnacentral:rRNA from 1 species